CACAUGCAAGUCGAACGCUGAAGCCCCAGCUUGCUGGGGUGGAUGAGUGGCGAACGGGUGAGUAACACGUGAGUAACCUUCCCUUGACUCUGGGAUAAGCCUGGGAAACCGGGUCUAAUACCGGAUGCGACCGUCCACCGCAUGGUGGUCGGUGGAAAGAUUUAUCGGUCUUGGAUGGACUCGCGGCCUAUCAGCUUGUUGGUGGGGUAAUGGCCCACCAAGGCGACGACGGGUAGCCGGCCUGAGAGGGUGACCGGCCACACUGGGACUGAGACACGGCCCAGACUCCUACGGGAGGCAGCAGUGGGGAAUAUUGCACAAUGGGCGCAAGCCUGAUGCAGCGACGCCGCGUGAGGGAUGACGGCCUUCGGGUUGUAAACCUCUUUCAGUAGGGAAGAAGCGAAAGUGACGGUACCUGCAGAAGAAGCGCCGGCUAACUACGUGCCAGCAGCCGCGGUAAUACGUAGGGCGCGAGCGUUAUCCGGAAUUAUUGGGCGUAAAGAGCUCGUAGGCGGUUUGUCGCGUCUGCCGUGAAAGUCCGGGGCUUAACCCCGGAUCUGCGGUGGGUACGGGCAGACUGGAGUGCAGUAGGGGAGACUGGAAUUCCUGGUGUAGCGGUGAAAUGCGCAGAUAUCAGGAGGAACACCGAUGGCGAAGGCAGGUCUCUGGGCUGUUACUGACGCUGAGGAGCGAAAGCAUGGGGAGCGAACAGGAUUAGAUACCCUGGUAGUCCAUGCCGUAAACGUUGGGCACUAGGUGUGGGGGCCAUUCCACGGUUUCCGCGCCGCAGCUAACGCAUUAAGUGCCCCGCCUGGGGAGUACGGCCGCAAGGCUAAAACUCAAAGGAAUUGACGGGGGCCCGCACAAGCGGCGGAGCAUGCGGAUUAAUUCGAUGCAACGCGAAGAACCUUACCAAGGCUUGACAUGUUC
rnacentral:rRNA from 1 species